rnacentral:tRNA from 1 species
GGAGAGGUGGCUGAGUGGUCGAUAGCGACGGUUUGCUAAACCGUUAGACUGGUUAAACCGGUCUCGAGGGUUCGAAUCCCUCCCUCUCCG